GCAGAGGUGGUUCAGCGGUAGAAAGCUUCUCUUCCAUAGGGAAGACCUGGGUUCAAUUCCCAGCCAGUACA
rnacentral:tRNA from 1 species